UACGUAGGUGGCAAGCGUUGUCCGGAAUUAUUGGGCGUAAAGCGCGCGCAGGUGGUUCUUUAAGUCUGAUGUGAAAGCCCACGGCUCAACCGUGGAGGGUCAUUGGAAACUGGGGAACUUGAAUACUGGAGAGGAUGGCGGAAUUCCCGGUGUAGAGGUGAAAAUUCGUAGAUAUCGGGAGGAACACCAGCGGCGAAGGCGGCCAUCUGGACAGAUAUUGACGCUGAGGUGCGAAAAGCGUGGGGAGCAAACAGGG
rnacentral:rRNA from 1 species